UACGAAGGGGGCUAGCGUUGCUCGGAAUCACUGGGCGUAAAGCGCACGUAGGCGGCUUUUUAAGUCAGGGGUGAAAUCCUGGAGCUCAACUCCAGAACUGCCUUUGAUACUGAGAAGCUUGAGUCCGGGAGAGGUGAGUGGAACUGCGAGUGUAGAGGUGAAAUUCGUAGAUAUUCGCAAGAACACCAGUGGCGAAGGCGACUCACUGGCCCUGUACUGACGCUGAGGUGCGAAAUCUUGGGUAUCAAACAUC
rnacentral:rRNA from 1 species